UACGGAGGGUGCAAGCGUUGUUCGGAUUUAUUGGGCGUAAAGGGCGUGUAGGCGGUUCGUUAAGUCUGAUGUGAAAGCCCCGGGCUCAACCCGGGAAGUGCAUUGGAAACUGGCGAACUUGAGUACGGGAGAGGGCAGUGGAAUUCCUAGUGUAGGAGUGAAAUGCGUAGAGAUCCGGAGGAACACCAAAGGCGAAGGCAGUGUCCUGGGGAGUACCUGACGCUCAGGUGCGAAAGCCAGGGGAGCGAACAGG
rnacentral:rRNA from 1 species